rnacentral:rRNA from 1 species
UACGUAGGGUGCGAGCGUUGUCCGGAAUUAUUGGGCGUAAAGGGCUCGUAGGCGGUUUGUCGCGUCGGGAGUGAAAACUCAGGGCUUAACCUGAGCCUGCUUCCGAUACGGGCAGACUAGAGGUAUGCAGGGGAGAACGGAAUUCCUGGUGUAGCGGUGAAAUGCGCAGAUAUCAGGAGGAACACCGGUGGCGAAGGCGGUUCUCUGGGCAUUACCUGACGCUGAGGAGCGAAAGUGUGGGGAGCGAACAGG